CGGACCGGCGCACGGGUGCGUAACGCGUAUGCAACCUACCUUUAACAGGGGGAUAACACUGAGAAAUUGGUACUAAUACCCCAUAAUAUCAUAGAAGGCAUCUUUUAUGGUUGAAAAUUCUGAUGGUUAGAGAUGGGCAUGCGUUGUAUUAGCUAGUUGGUGGGGUAACGGCUCACCAAGGCGACGAUACAUAGGGGGACUGAGAGGUUAACCCCCCACACUGGUACUGAGACACGGACCAG
rnacentral:rRNA from 1 species